UGCCAAUGGGAGCCCACUGGGCUCAGGACCCAGCCGAAUUUCAGCCCUCACUUGGACGGGGAGUGUUAUUGAAGUCAGGAAAGAGAUGAACAGGAAACUCCAGAUUCAUGCAGAGGAGUCCAUUUAACAUCAUGCUGUUUUCCAAUGACACACUUCACAACAAAAGAUUUCAGGAAUGGGGAAGUGUUUUGAAGGCUUGUAAGAAAAAAAAGCUGCUCUCAUUUCCAAGACGAGUCUUGCUAUGAAGUCUCAGGAAUCGGCUUAUAUGGGUUUUUCCAAGGAACUCUCUACUCUUGUCGAAGGGCCAUGGAUUUUCUCUGAAGCAACAGCACACAAAUGCCUCUCAGAGGA
rnacentral:lncRNA from 1 species